UACAGGAACACCACAGAAAUGCAAUCAAAGUACUUCACUUUAUUUAUCAGAGGAUGUACUGUAUGCAAAGUAGAAUUUUUUUUAGCUGUAAUUCCUCAAAAAGAUUUGAGACUGCUUUGUUAUUUGAGAGCACAGAUUGUUUCUUUUCCCUUCUCUCUGUUUGCCUGUACAUGACCUCUUAGUGCUGUAAAAGAUGCUACAGUAAAUCCUGGAUCAGCUGUGCGGAUGGUGUGACUGUGUGGUAAAGCUUUGUUAAACCUGUAGUUUAAUCAUGGUGUUUCUCUUUGUUAACGAUUAUUGAAGCGAAAUAAAAAAUAAAUGCAUGACAUUUAAAACAUAUUAACAUGUGUGGGGAAAAACGCGAUCUUUAUGUCUUCUUUUAUUGUACCUAUGUCUCCUCCUAACUUCAAUAACAGCAGCAUGUUGUGUGUAACACUGGUCUCCUGUAUUAACACCUUCCUUUCAAAGGUGUUAAAUACAGACACAGUCACAAUCACCGCAAUGUUUGUCAGGUUUUGUCAAUUUUUAGUACAAAUUCUCAAUGAGCGUCAUUAAAUUUACAAUAUGAUCAA